UACGUAGGGUCCGAGCGUUGUCCGGAAUUACUGGGCGUAAAGCGUGCGCAGGCGGUUUUGUAAGUCUGUCGUGAAAUCCCCGGGCUCAACCUGGGAAUUGCGAUGGAGACUGCAAGGCUAGAAUCUGGCAGAGGGGGGUAGAAUUCCACGUGUAGCAGUGAAAUGCGUAGAGAUGUGGAGGAACACCGAUGGCGAAGGCAGCCCCCUGGGUCAAGAUUGACGCUCAUGCACGAAAGCGUGGGGAGCAAACAGG
rnacentral:rRNA from 1 species